rnacentral:rRNA from 1 species
CACGUAGGGGACGAGCGUUGUCCGGAAUCAUUGGGCGUAAAGCGCGCGUAGGCGGCUCGGAAAGUCGGUCGUGAAAUGCCGGGGCUCAACCCCGGGACUGCGUCCGAUACUCCCGAGCUGGAGGCAGGUAGGGGAGAUCGGAAUUCCUGGUGUAGCGGUGAAAUGCGCAGAUAUCAGGAGGAACACCGGUGGCGAAGGCGGAUCUCUGGGCCUGUCCUGACGCUGAGGCGCGAAAGCUAGGGGAGCGAACAGG